rnacentral:rRNA from 1 species
UACGUAGGGUGCGAGCGUUAAUCGGAAUUACUGGGCGUAAAGCGCACGUAGGCGGACAUUUAAGUUGGAGGUGAAAGCCUUGGGCUCAACCCAAGAAUUGCCUUUGAUACUGGAUGUCUCGAGACCGGGAGAGGUGAGUGGAAUUCCGAGUGUAGAGGUGAAAUUCGUAGAUAUUCGGAAGAACACCAGUGGCGAAGGCGGCUCACUGGCCCGGUUCUGACGCUGAGGUGCGAAAGCGUGGGGAGCAAACAGG